GUUUAAAUAGUUUAAUAAAAAUUUUAAUUUGUGAUAUUAGAGAUAUAUGUAUAUAUUUUAAACA
rnacentral:tRNA from 1 species